CUUCAAAAGUAAUAAAAUUACAAUUACUUAUUAGGUACUUUUCUGAAAUGUAAACUUAAACUUAAAUGUAGGUAGUUAAGUUACUUUAUAACUAAAAUAAGAAAUUAAUAAAUUACUUUUAAAGUUGCCCUAUACCAUCUAUAAUACCUACCUAGUUUAUCUAAUUGUGUUAAAAAUUUUUUGAAAUGUACCAUACAUUGAUUGAUUUUUUUCAUUUUAGUUUAUAUAAAUAUGAUUCAUUAUUCUAAAAAUAAUGUUUUUAUUACUAUUUACAUCAUAUAUUAUACAUGAAAUGUGUAACCACAACUUCAUAAUGAUGUCAGUUCUACAUAGCGGACAACAUCUUCUACCUUCUCGCAUCCACCUUUCAAUGCAUACCCUACAGAAAUGGUGUUGGCAGGGCACUAUUGUAGUAGUGGAAAUGCCAUUAUAGCAAAUUAUGCAUAUUUCAAGAACUGAAAAAGAAUGUUUUAACUCUACAUCAUUUUCGAGUUCUGCAUAAAAAGCUUGGAUUAUAUCAUUUUGUCUUCUACCACGUCUUUCUACUCUUGGACUCCGGUGUCUAUGCCUCCCAUUCUCUACACAU